AUACGGGGGGGACGAGCGUUGUUCGGAUUUACUGGGCGUAAAGGGCGCGUCGGCGGACUCUCAAGUCGGGUGUGAAAACUGGCGGCUCAACUGCCAGCCUGCAUCCGAAACUGUGAGUCUUGAGUACGGGAGAGGAAAGCGGAAUUCCAGGUGUAGCGGUGAAAUGCGUAGAUAUCUGGAAGAACACCGGUAGCGAAGGCGGCUUUCUGGACCGAUACUGACGCUAAAGCGCGAAGGCUUGGGUAGCAAACAGGAUUAGAUACCCGGGUAGUCC
rnacentral:rRNA from 1 species